UCUUUUGCCCCUUUUGUGAAAGAAACCAUGACUUUCCCUUUAUGAUUUGGUGUUAAACGCACAUUCUAAACCAAACCAAAACUGAUCAUAAACCCACUCUUUUCUGAUUCAUUAUGAAAAUGUAUGUGGA